rnacentral:rRNA from 1 species
UACAGAGGUCCCGAGCGUUGUUCGGAUUCAUUGGGCGUAAAGCGCGUGUAGGCGGUUCGGUAAGUCCGCUGUGAAAGUCGGGGGCUCAACCCUCGGAUGCCGGUGGAUACUGUCGGGCUUGAGUACGGAAGAGGCGAGUGGAAUUCCUGGUGUAGCGGUGAAAUGCGCAGAUAUCAGGAGGAACACCAAUUGCGAAGGCAGCUCGCUGGGACGUUACUGACGCUGAGACGCGAAAGCGUGGGGAGCAAACAGG